AAAUGAUUAGUUUCUAGGUCUAAAUAAUGACCAUCACAAAACAAAGUGACUCGCUACCAUCCCUGCAAGGACUCUACUGACCGGUAACUUGUAAUACGGUGCGGGUAGAAAAACAACCUCCUUAUAAAAUAACACAUAAAAUCUUCCUGUCUUAUUCAAAUAUGAGUCCAAUUCGUGGCACAGUCUCCGAAAAUAGCAUUGUUUUCAAAAAUGUAAAGGAACAACCUUAAAAAUCUUGUUUUCUAUGCCAAAAUUAAAAAAAAUCAACUCAGCAGGAAAAAAGCACGACCUGUGAAACAAGCGGGAAAAAAGCUCAGUCAUUGUGAAGCCAGCAGGGAAAAAGCUCAAAACUGUGAAGUUAGCAGGAAAGAUUUUUUUUCCUGCUCAUAGUUCGCACACUGAAACACAGGCGGCGCUUUAUGUGAGCUUUUUUCCUGCUCGAUUUUUCCUGCUGGAUUGGCAGAGGUCAUGGAAGUCUGGUGGCUCAUUGCCCAUGGAUAGACUUGUGAGUAAGCUGGAUGCGGCUUCCCGGAUGUUCAGCAACUGGCGCACUGCAGCGAUUUGAUUAUGAUGAACCUUAAUGGAGUCUCAGCUCCGGAACAUCUACGGUAAAACAGGCUCAACAGACUCGCGCGAACUGCUGACAAUGGUUCAGUCUACUCAGGAAGUCAGCACACAAAAUCGAGCGUCUUCUCGUAUUCAUCAUUCUGGGGGUCGUUACACAAAGGCAUAUUACUGUUAGAAAUAAUGAUAUAUAAUAAAAAAAUAAAAUUUAAUACUGUUUGUUUAAA